rnacentral:rRNA from 1 species
AUUGAACGCUGGCGGCAUGCCUUACACAUGCAGGUCGAACGGCAGCGGGGGAGAAGCUUGCUUUUCCUGCCGGCGAGUGGCGAACGGGUGAGUAAUACAUCGGAACGUGCCCUGUAGUGGGGGAUAACUAGUCGAAAGAUUAGCUAAUACCGCAUACGACCUGAGGGUGAAAGUGGGGGACCGCAAGGCCUCAUGCUAUAGGAGCGGCCGAUGUCUGAUUAGCUAGUUGGUGGGGUAAAGGCCUACCAAGGCGACGAUCAGUAGCUGGUCUGAGAGGACGAUCAGCCACACUGGGACUGAGACACGGCCCAGACUCCUACGGGAGGCAGCAGUGGGGAAUUUUGGACAAUGGGCGAAGGCCUGAUCCAGCAAUGCCGCGUGUGUGAAGAAGGCCUUCGGGUUGUAAAGCACUUUUGUCCGGAAAGAAAUGGCUCUGGUUAAUACCUGGGGUCGAUGACGGUACCGGAAGAAUAAGGACCGGCUAACUACGUGCCAGCCGCCGCAGUAA